rnacentral:rRNA from 1 species
GAUGAACGCUGGCGGCGUGCCUAAUACAUGCAAGUCGAGCGAACGGACGAGAAGCUUGCUUUUCUGAUGUUAGCGGCGGACGGGUGAGUAACACGUGGAUAACCUACCUAUAAGACUGGGAUAACUUCGGGAAACCGGAGCUAAUACCGGAUAAUAUUUUGAACCGCAUGGUUCAAAAGUGAAAGACGGUCUUGCUGUCACUUAUAGAUGGAUCCGCGCUGCAUUAGCUAGUUGGUAAGGUAACGGCUUACCAAGGCAACGAUGCAUAGCCGACCUGAGAGGGUGAUCGGCCACACGGGAACUGAGACACGGUCCAGGCGCCUAAGGGAGGCAGCAGUAGGGAAUCUUCCGCAAUGGGCGAAAGCCUGACGGAGCAACGCCGCGUGAGUGAUGAAGGUCUUCGGAGCGUAAAACUCUGUUAUUAGGGAAGAACAUAUGUGUAAGUAACUGUGCACAUCUUGACGGUACCUAAUCAGAAAGCCACGGCUAACUACGUG